GAAGGACUGGUGUGUCUGUGGAGAGCCACGAAGCAAGUUGUGUUUGCAAUCAUGCUGCUGGUGUUGCUGGGAAGAAUGCAUGGAAAGCUGUUCCAGGGUGGGCACGUUCUCUGCAAUGUUGGGAACACAGCUCCUUAGCGGUAGAACAGUUAUACUAGACCUGCUUCAAUCAGUUCCUCCUCAGGGUACUUGCCUGCCUCUCACCUCUCCGAUUUCACUCUCACACCCAUGCCUGGGGCUUGAAAUUUCCCUUGCCCACCCCAAAGUCACCUGCUUUCAAAUGGAUGGACAUGAUUAGGCAAAUAUGGCUGGAGGCAAAGUGGCUGGAGGUGAGGACAGUCUCUCUCUUGGGCUUUCUCUUGAGACAGGACUUUUUCUGAGGUGCAAACUUCCUUGAAGCACUAAUGAAGACCUGCAUCCCAAAGAGGAAGGAACAUAGCUCUGCACUGGACAGAGCUGAAUUUUACCCCUUGCUCUCAGUUGUUGUAAAAACUCAAUGAGAUAAUGUGAUUAAAGCCCUUAGGAGACCAGAUUGCACAUUGUUAGUGCUCAAAACAUGGUAGCCAUUUAACUAUUGGGUGUUCAUUGGAUAUUCUCAGAGGAUUCUGUGUCUCCUGCUUCAGUAACAUGACACUGGAUGGAAAUGGCUCGUUCACUUUUCUCUUUUCUCUACUAGACUGUAACAUCCUUGUAGGCCCAAACCUAAAACAAUGCAUUCCAGAUCCCAUGAUUAGCUCACAUUCGUUGAGUGCUUAUGAUGUCAAACACUAAAUGCUUUAAUUCUCAAAACCCUAGAGUUAGGAAUUACCGUUUUAUAGUAUUUAUAGCUAAAGAUAUGGAGGCACCAAGUGGUUUAAGUAACUCACCCAUUGUGAUGUAUCUAGUAAGUGGUGGAGACAGUAUAUAAAUACAGUACGUGGGGUUCCAGAACCUGUGCUCUUUACCACUGCAUUGCACUGCCUCAAUCCUCAUUCUUCUUAGGUUUUCCUCAUUUUUCUCCACCUACACCGUGGAACGUAUCAUCCCUAUUGUCUCCGUCUGUGCUUAUGGGGCUAAAACUAUUCUGUGAUUCUCUUUGUGCUAAUGCCUCACAAUGCCUCAUGUAAUAGCACGCUCUACAAUUGCUUCUCCAUUUGUCUAGUGCUGGGUUUGGCAUACUAAGUUUAUGUACCAAUUAUGCUCUUUCACAAAGCAUCUCUUGGUUCCAUUGUCUGACUGGAUACUAGACCGAGUGGAUCACUGGGCAGACCUUUUAUCCUUUUGUGUUCUUAAUGACAACCAUCUGUUUCCUAAAGCAAUUGAAAUCUUCAGUUAUUAGCAUAAAGGAAAAACAUUGACUCUGGGCACAGCCUCACACUACUGGUACAUGCCUGGGGCAUCAGUUACCACCAAGGUUUGCCUGUCCACCUUUCUCAGAGAGAGUCUGGGUGAAACUGGGGUUUCCUUUCAAGAACAGAUGCCCACGCCCCAUGUGGUUUUAAAAAAACAUGCAAAUCGUAUAUACAAGAAUAUUAUAUAUCUUUGGAGUUAAAUAAAUAAUAUAGCCAUCAUCCCUCUCAAUAGAAUAUUAUUGGAUUCCACCCAGUCCUCUGCGUACCCCUCCCCCAACCCUCCCCCAGUAAUGCCAAUAUGCUUUUCAUUAUACAAAGAGUAGGAGUUGUUUGAGAGCAAUACUUUCUGGAUGAGUAAGUCAGAUGUGAUUUCCAGGUACUUUGUGUGAAAGAUGCUAGCAGCAAACUUGGGAGUAUUCUGCGGUUUCACAUUCUAUUCAAACUGAUGUUUCCGGAGAGCUGUUUCUGAUUCUGACUUCACAACCACUGCAGCACAAUAGUGUACUGAGAACAGAUGUGUCAGUAAAUUGUGGCCAAUGUGAAAAUUUAAUUUUUGCCACAGCUGGGGACACGUACUUUUAUGGCAACGGCCAUUAGAAUAUUAAGCUGAGCAGUGUUGCAGAUGGUGAAAAGCAGAAUUCAAACAGCAGGAGGAAAGGUGGAGAAUACCAGUGAACCAGUGUCCAAGAAAAAUGGUUUCUGAUAGGCAAGAACUUUGCUGUGAAACUAUGUGAGAAAACUUGCGAGAGAAUUUGGUCGUGGCCAUAGGCAUUCUACUCAAACAGGAAUGCUAGUGGGAUAUCGUGUGCCUGUCCCUGAAGUGUCCACUCCUUCCAGGAGAGCCACCAGUUCCAGUACUAAGAAAGGUGUCUCAGGGGUGCCUGGGUGGCUCAGUUAAGCGUUGACUCUUGCUUUUGGCUCAGGUCAUGAUCUCACGGUUCAUGGGAUGGAACCCUGCGUCAGGCUCUGCGCUAACAGUGCAGAGUGUACUUGGGAUUCUCUCUCUCUCCCUCUCUCUGCCCCUCCCCCACUUGCAGGCGCUCUCUCUCAAAAUAAACAUUAAAAAAAAAUGCGUCUCAAGGACCAUAAAAGUGAGAACCAUUACUCCAGCCAGCAGAUAUUUGUGAAGUGGUUUAACAAGUUUUCAUUAUUUAUUCCCUGCCACUAAUGUACCCUUUGAAAUAAUUUCACUGUCUGUUCCGUCCCACCACUAAUGAAUUAGAAACACUCAUGUCUGCCCAGGGCUGGAGGAAAUGCAAUGCAAUUCUACCACAGAUUUGGUAAUGUCUGUAUGCAGCGGCUAAAAGAUCCAAAAAACUGGACAUAAUUUUCAGUGCUAUUCAGUUUGUGAGAAGAUUAAGUUAAAAACAACAACAAAGAAACUUGGAACUUUAAGGAAAAUUGCUUUCAGAACUUGGAGGGGGGGUAGGGGACACAUGUGAGACCAUGAGGCAGAAACCCUUGGAGAGAUGCCCAGAAAAGUAGUAUCCCCAUCAAUCCUUCUCUAUCCAUCUCCUCUCCCCUAAAAAAGGCAUGACUUCCUAUUCUAGAACUAGAAUGUGUGUGCUUCUUGCCUGUAGGACUUGCUGAAGAUGAUAUGGCUGCAAUUGAGUGACUUGGAUAACUUUCUUCACCUUUAAGAUGAAGUAUAUGGGUGCCUGGGUGGUUCAGCUGGUUAAGCAUCUGACUUUGGCUUAGGUCAUGAUCUCACAGUUCAUGGGUUUGAGCCCCGCGUGGGGCUACGCUGACAGCUCAGAGCCUAGAGCCUACUUCAGAUUGUCUCCCUCUGCCCCUCCCCUGCUCACACCCUCUGUCUCUCAAAAAUGAAUAAACAUUGAAAAAAAGAAAAGAUGCUGUAUUAAGUGGCAGCCUAAUUGAUAUGUGAACCAUGUUCUUUAGGAUGAGGUGUUUUUUAUUUAAGUAGGCUUCACAUCCAGCAUGGAGCCCAACAUGGGGCUUGAAUUCACAGCCCUGAGAUCAAGACCUGAGCUGAGAUUAAGAGUCAGAUGCUUAACCAACUGAGCCAUCCAGGCACCCCAGGAUGAAUUUUUAUAUCUCAGGAAACAUACAGAAAAUCUUCACUUGCAUUCUUUUUUGUUAUAGUUAGGAUAGCCAUAUAAUCAUUUAUCCUCAAAACCAGGACACUUGAGAAUACAAGGAGGGUGCUAUUAAUAAUUACACCUGGACAACAUAAACCAGAAUUGUUCCAGGCAAACUGAGAUGUAUGAACACUUAUAGUACAAUCUUGGUGUUCAAUAAAUGUUUUAUCACAUUAUGUAGCUUUUAGGCCCCAAGCAUGAUAAUCUAAUUUUUUAAGUUUAUUUUGAGAGAGAGAGCAAGAGAGUGGGGGCGAGGCAGAAAGGAAGAGAGAAUCCCAAGAAGACACAGGGGGUGACCUCACAAACUGUGAGAUCAUGACCUGAGCCAAAAUCAAGAGUCAGACACUUAACUAAGCCACUCAGGCGCUCUAGGACAACCUAAUUUGAAAGAGGAAUAUUAAUAUAGGUAUUAUAUACUAGAGGUGAAAUCUUUUAGUUAUGCUAAUGCACCAAAUACAUCCCUUUGGCUAGAGGGAAGAGUGUUCCAUUUUCCCCCUUGUGUACUUCGGAUACUUUGAGCAUUCUGAUCUGUUUUAUCGUAAGGUAAGUGAGUGAGCACAGGAAGCUAGUCAAUUGCAGCAAAUCGCACUACUGAGCUGAGCUCAAAGCUAAAAACUCUGUUCCCUGGAGUCCCCAGCAGUUGUGCUGUUCACUGAACCAAGAAUGGAUGCCUUCUAGAAUUUGAUCAGAUUUCUAUUGCAGAUUCACCAGAGGUGGAGACUUAUUACUACUUUUCAGAUAAGAAAUCUGGUGAAGUUUGUAGAGUUCACAUUAAUCCUCUUCAUCCCACUUCUACAAAAAGCGUGGGUGCUAGUUCUUCCUAAUCAUUAGUCAUGUAGUUGGGUCUUUUUUUUUGUAGAGAUUUCUUUGGGCAUUCAAGAAGGGAUCCAGGUAUUCAUUAAGUUUAGUCCUUGGGAUUUUUGUGUGUUGCAGUAACUAGGCAACAGUUCAGAUGUUUUAACUUAGCAUGUCCUGUACUAGCAAGUUUAAAAAAAGAACUGUCAAGCCAUACUUGGCAGAACCUUCCUUGGACUCUCCCACCCUCUGUACAGUUCUCCUGUACAUCUUGGCUGUUCCUCCACUGCUAACAGAGACCUCUUCUGUCUCGGCCAUUCUGACAGCCUUGUCCAAGCCUUUCUCACCGAGGGGCGGCUAGAUACCCAGUGUGCUCAAUAAUUGGUAGGACUGCAGCUAGGGGUUUGAUCACCCAUUACCUUUCGUUAACAACUCUUAUAUCCAGAUCUUAAACCUACUCUUAACUGCUACGCCUUUGAACAUAAUUUGCCUUUGUUUAUGAAGAUAUAACGAAGUUCUAAGUAGUUUAAGAAUUGUGCUUAUCCAUCAACUAUAAGAAUAUGCAUUUCAAACACAAACUCUAGCUCUUUAAAGUGAAUAGCCAAUGAAACUGAUUCAGUUGACAUAAAACGUGUAAAAGGCCAGCUGCGUAAUGUUCAAUGUUAGAUGGAUUGGACUUUCUAGGUAUACAAUUUUGGAAGCAGAACUACAGCACUAAAGCAACCAGGAUAGGCACAUGUAAGAUGUUGUUCCUAGUAGCAGCAUUCUGUAGUACAGUGGUAUACAGGAAAAGCUUUGCUAUCAGUCACACCUAGGAUUCUAAUCUCAGUUCUUUACAUAGGAACUGUGUGAUCUCUAUAACCUCUUAUCCUUAGUUGCAUCAUCUAUAAAAUGGGGAUGAGAACUGUCCUUGUCUUAGAGGUUUGCUGGGAGGCUUAACUGAGAUAGUGCACAUAAAAUGUUUAGUAGUGUCAACUACUUUCGUCUCCUCCUAGAUUGUGUAUUAUCUCAAAAGCAGAGGUGUUAAGAAUCAAAUGAGCUAACGUAUGUAAAAUGUGCAUAGAAGCUAUCAUUAGCCCCCAGUAAACGAAGCCAUUAAGUAGGACAAUAUAUGAAGCUCUAUUUAACUUGAUCUGUCUAAAAAGUUAACCAGUUAUUUUGGGAGUUUUCCCACAGCUUUGGAACCUACCAGUGGCAGCUUAAGGGAACAAGAACAAGUGGAAGAGAAAAGGCAAUGGUCUAGACUGGACACAGUGAGAAGACGGCCAUCUACAAGCCACAGAGUCCUUACUGGGAACUGAGCAGGACCAGCACCUUGACGGGAGGACUUCCUGUCCUCUAGAACUUUGAGAAAUAAAUCUCUGUUGGCUAAGCCACCCAA